UACGUAGGGGGCAAGCGUUGUCCGGAAUUAUUGGGCGUAAAGAGCUCGUAGGCGGCUUGUUGCGUCAGCUGUGAAAACCCGCAGCUCAACUGUGGGCUUGCAGCUGAUACGGGCAGGCUUGAGUUCGGUAGGGGAGACUGGAAUUCCUGAUGUAGCGGUGAAAUGCGCAGAUAUCAGGAGGAACACCGGUGGCGAAGGCGGGUCUCUGGGCCGAUACUGACGCUGAGGAGCGAAAGCGUGGGGAGCGAACAGG
rnacentral:rRNA from 1 species